AACCCCAAGGCAGGAAGAACUGGCGCAAAUUAAGAAGGUGAAUCCAGAAUACAAAGGAGACAGACUCACUCCUAUGUGGCCGAUCACACCCGCUGCUCUGAAGGCAGAAGCCUCUCCCAGGUUGAAGGAACUGGCACAACCCCGGUGUUACACAAAUGACUGGUACCGGCCCCGAUCCCUGAUGGUGAGUAAAGGAGCCCUGACUGCCAUUCCCACCCCACGGAUCAUUGCUCUAGCUGAACCAAGGCGCUUGCCACC